rnacentral:rRNA from 1 species
GCGAAGCAGAGAGUGCUUUAUUGAGCCAAGUGACAGGUGAUGCAUGGCCGUCGUCAGCUCGUGUCGUGAGAUGUUUGGUUAAGUCCAUCAACGAGCGCAACCCUUAUGGUCUGUUGUAUUUUUCAGGCCAGACUGCCCUGGUAACAGGGAGGAAGGAGGGGAUGAUGUCAGGUCAGUAUUUCCCUUACAUCUGGGGCUACAAACACGCUACAAUGGCCGGUACAAAGGGCAGCCAAAGCGCAAGCUGGAGCAAAUCCCAUCAAAGCCGGUCUCAGUUCGGAUAGCAGGCUGAAACUCGCCUGCUUGAAGUCGGAAUCGCUAGUAACGGUAGGUCAGCUAUACUACCGUGAAUACGUUCCCGGGUCUUGUACACACCGCCCGUCAAACCAUGAAAGUCGCCAAUACCUGACGUGUUGCCUUCGCGCAGCCCUAAGGUAGGGGAGAUGAUUGGGGUUAAGUCGUAACAAGGUAACCGU